rnacentral:rRNA from 1 species
UGGGGAAUAUUGGACAAUGGGGGGAACCCUGAUCCAGCCAUGCCGCGUGUGUGAAGAAGGUCUUCGGAUUGUAAAGCACUUUAAGUUGGGAGGAAGGGCAGUAAGCGAAUACCUUGCUGUUUUGACGUUACCGACAGAAUAAGCACCGGCUAACUCUGUGCCAGCAGCCGCGGUAAUACAGAGGGUGCAAGCGUUAAUCGGAAUUACUGGGCGUAAAGCGCGCGUAGGUGGUUCGUUAAGUUGAAUGUGAAAGCCCCGGGCUCAACCUGGUAACUGCAUCCAAAACUGGCGAGCUAGAGUAGGGCAGAGGGUGGUGGAAUUUCCUGUGUAGCGGUGAAAUGCGUAGAUAUAGGAAGGAACACCAGUGGCGAAGGCGACCACCUGGGCUCAUACUGACACUGAGGUGCGAAAGCGUGGGGAGCAAACAGG